CAGGACAGGUACAGCACAGGCAGCGACAGUGUGAGCUUUCCCCACACCACCCCUCCAAGUGCCUCAACCCUGACCUGGAGGGACCACCUCUAGA
rnacentral:sRNA from 1 species